GUCCACGCCGUAAACGAUGGGUGCUAGGUGUGGGGAGUGUCAACUCUCUCUGUGCCGAAGCUAACGCAUUAAGCACCCCGCCUGGGGGAGUACGGCCGCAAGGCUAAAACUCAAAGGAAUUGACGGGGGCCCGCACAAGCAGCGGAGCAUGUUGUUUAAUUCGACGCAACGCGAAGAACCUUACCAGGGCUUGACAUGCAUGGGAAUGUCCGUAGAGAUACGGCAGCCCUUCGGGGCUCAUGCACAGGUGUUGCAUGGCCGUCGU
rnacentral:rRNA from 1 species